CACACGCUCCUUAGAUCCACCUCUGGGAAGGUCCCCCUUCCGGCAGCUUCGUGGCUGUACAGUUGGAGGUGCUUGAGUCAUUGGCGUGUGAGAUCAGUGCACCUGCACCACCGGUCCGUCGGUGGCACCGGCACCCUUUACGGGGACGUCCACCGGUGCGCCUCGACCGGGGCGCGGACAAA
ensembl:snoRNA SNORA53 small nucleolar RNA, H/ACA box 53